CUCCCAUCAGCCCCCGCGGACCCAGCGGGCGCGGCUUUGGGCGCGACAGGCUCCGCUCGCAGGGCGGGGCCAGGAGCGGAAGUGACGUCAGCGAUUCGGGGGUCGCCCGCGGUAACCGGCAGAGUCGGGAUAUUGGGGUUGAGCUUUGUGGGUCAGACGCUGUUUCCCGAUUGUGGUCUGGGAGCCCAGGCUGAGCAGCUGCUGCUCCCCCAGUGGGAUCGGGGCAGGGGAGUGACCAUGAGUGAAGCUUCCUGUGCCAGCCAAGGAUAACAAGCUUGUGGAUAGAGGGGAAGCGGUAGACAUGGUAUAUCGUGACUUCAGUAAUGCUUUUGAUGCUGUCUUGCAUGACCUUCUCCUAAAUAAACUAGAGAAGUACAACUGGAACAGAACUACCAAGUCGAGAACAUCCAUCUGCGAGGAAAGAGCCGGGGGGAAUUGUGAUGUGACGUGACUGUCCUGUUCUGACACGUCCCCUUCAUGCCCUGACAGGCUGCAGUGUCACAUCCCAUCCUCCCAGGGAAGAGAGAUGGCUGCCAUGGGGCCAGCUCAGAUAGGGAUUAUCGGGCAGUUGCUGGUGGGCUCCUGUUGGCAGCAGAAAGGCUGUAAAGCCAUAGGAGGGACUGGUGACUUUCGAGGAGGUGGCUGUGUAUUUCACCAGGGAAGAGUGGGCUCUGCUGGACCCCAUUCAGAGCGCCCUUUACAGACAUGUCAUGCAGGAGAACUACAAGAACGUGACCUCGCUGGGUGAGGGGAUGGUGAGAGAGACUGUGGAGCAGACGCCUCAGCAGGAAGAGGAGCAAGUGGAAGCACGUGGGGCGUUGUUGCAAAGAUGCAAAGGGAGUGUGUCCAUGAGUUGUGAGCAGGGAAAAGGCUCUCAGGGGCAGCACAGGCCAGAGAAGCGUCAGGGGAACCAGCUAGCGCAGAAAGUUAGAAUAUCUGUUCAUUAUCGGGAAAUUCACAAAGGCCUCAAGGAAGCCACGGCUUGGCAGAGAAUCCUUACGGGAGAGAGAAAUAACACGGGCUUUGA